rnacentral:rRNA from 1 species
UGGGGAAUUUUAGACAAUGGGCGAAAGCCUGAUCCAGCAAUGCCGCGUGUGUGAAGAAGGCCUUCGGGUUGUAAAGCACUUUUGUCCGGAAAGAAAUCCUUGGCUCUAAUACAGUCGGGGGAUGACGGUACCGGAAGAAUAAGCACCGGCUAACUACGUGCCAGCAGCCGCGGUAAUACGUAGGGUGCAAGCGUUAAUCGGAAUUACUGGGCGUAAAGCGUGCGCAGGCGGUUUGCUAAGACCGAUGUGAAAUCCCCGGGCUCAACCUGGGAACUGCAUUGGUGACUGGCAGGCUAGAGUAUGGCAGAGGGGGGUAGAAUUCCACGUGUAGCAGUGAAAUGCGUAGAGAUGUGGAGGAAUACCGAUGGCGAAGGCAGCCCCCUGGGCCAAUACUGACGCUCAUGCACGAAAGCGUGGGGGAGCAAACAGGAUUAGAUACCCUGGUAGUCCACGCCCUAAACGAUGUCAACUAGUUGUUGGGGAUUCAUUUCCUUAGUAACGUAGCUAACGCGUGAAGUUGACCGCCUGGGGAGUACGGUCGCAAGAUUAAAACUCAAAGGAAUUGACGGGGUCAUAGCUGUUUCCU